rnacentral:rRNA from 1 species
GCGUCUAUAUACGUAUAGCAUAUCAAUAAGCGGAGGAAAAGAAACUAACUAGGAUUCCCUCAGUAACGGCGAGUGAAGCGGGAAGAGCUCAAAUUUGAAAUCUUCAAGGUUCUACCUUGACGAAUUGUAGUUUAAAGAAGUGUUUUCUGUUGGAGUUUUGGUAAAAGUUCUUUGGAAUAGGACAUCAUAGAGGGUGAGAAUCCCGUAUUUGACCAUUAUUUCCAACUGUGUGAUACACUUUCAAAGAGUCGGAUUGUUUGGGAAUGCAGUCCAAAAUGGGUGGUAAAUUUCAUCUAAAGCUAAAUACUGGCGAGAGAGCCGAUAGCGAACAAGUACCGUGAGGGAAAGAUGAAAAGAACUUUGAAAAGAGAGUUAAACAGUACGUGAAAUUGUCAAAAGGGAAGCGUCUGACACCAGUGUUGUUUUCUCGAAAAUCAAUUAAAAAAUGAUUGGGAUUUUGUGUUGUAUUGACUUUAUCAGCUUUCUGCACUCUUUUCCUUAUCUUUUUUAAUGCACUUUUCGUUUAACAAGUCAACAUCAAUUUCUUUUGUUGUAAAAGAGUCAUUGGAAGGUGGCUUUCUUUUCGGAGAAAGUGUUUAUAGCCUUUGACUUCUGCAAUCGGAGAGAUUGAGGUCUGCAGCGUAGAUCCUUCGGGGUUAGAUGCAUUUGUGCUAAGUUAUAGCCUUUCAUAGACAACUUGUUGACUAUGAUCAGUCAUGUAGCUUACUCGCUUAUGUCAUUUUACCUACGCUUAGGAUGUUGAUCUGUAGUGCGUGCGC